ACAACAUAACACAGAGCAAUAUUUGUUUGUUUACUUUUGCAUUUGCGGGAAUGCAGUUAGAGAGUCGCUCUUUAAUCGCAUGGCAUUGUACAUUUUCGCACACUCAUAGCAGUGCAGUCAGCAGCGAUGAGAAAAAAACAUGAAAAUACAUGCGUGGUUUCUGUGCGAGUGAUCAUGUGGUGUUAACGAAAAUUUAGAAAAGUGUAGAAAAUAAGUGCUAAAUCAAAUAAUUAUUGGUGAAAUUUCAUUUAUGUAUAAGUAAGUAAAGUGAAAUAAAGGAAAAAUAUAUCCAAUAUUGUAAGUGCCGUGAGUUAAGCUCAAUGCAAGUGAAGAAAAGUGUAUUAUGAUGCAAAGGUGUCUUGCUUUAAGGCGAAGCAAUAAAAAUGUUCAAAAGUGUUUCAGUUUUAUAAAAGUUAGUUGUUUAAUAAAAAUAUAUGCCUUUGUGUAGGCAUAAUCAAAAAAGUGUUCAGUGAAGUGUUAAAAAAGUGAUGAAAAUGUGUUUAAAUAAAAUUUAUACUCGUGUUUUAUAAUCAUGUCGUUCGUAAAUGAUAUUCGCGGCGCGUCGGUUGAGUGCGGGAAUCUCUUUACAACAAAAAUUAAAAAGCAGUUCGCUGUUUGGUUAAAUGAAACAACACAAAGUAGCGAUUAAUAUUCAUAACGAAUAUCCACAUUCUUGAUUUUCAAGUACUUACGACCACAUAAAACGGUCCGAACUUUGCGGUCUCAUUAAACCAAUCCAAACAAUGUCAUUCACAUCAAGCUCACGGAGUAGAUCUCUGGUUGCAUCAAAUUGGAAGCUGUUGUCGACUUAUACUUGCUUCCUACACGCAUCAUAUACAGUGAUCAUAACGCUUAAAUUUAACGAAACAAAAAAGUGUGUUGUGAAUGGACUUAACCUCACCUAAUAACAAAACUAAGUUCAAAUAUAUAUAUACUUAUAUAUGUGAAUAUGAGUUUAUAAUGCACCGCUAAGCAAACUCAAUGAAGCUAAGAAAGCAAACAAUUUGAUUUAUGACUGCACAUAUUACUCAUACGCACCGCCUCCUCACACAGCAGCCGCAUUUAAAGAAGCGAAAAUAUAUGAAAUCUGUUUUCGACGACUGUCACACAUAAACUACACACAACGCAGAUUCAAUAAGCAGAGAAGAAGUCAACAGUGAAAAACCACAAUGUCUGAAAACCGCAAGAACCACAACAAUUGCAACAACAACUGCAACGGCCACCAGCAAUUGAAUGCCAAAUAGUAACCAACGGUUAUUUUCAACUGCUUUUGCAAAAUUUAUUAUGUUUACACAAGGGCGCCCAACUUGUCCUUGCAACAUUCUGUUGUCUGUUGGUCACAAAAAUGCACAACACGUUGCCAACGUGAUCAGCAACUGAAAUGUGCUAUAGCGUGCAGUCAAGCAGUGAGGCAAUGACAACAAUAAUAAAAGUAGUGAGUUCGCUAUGUUCUUGUACGUUCCGUCUUGGUCGGUUGGUUGGUUGGCUGAUCGUUGAGAUUAUGUUGACACUGUACUGGCAGCAACUGUCAACUUUAAUUAUCGUCGCUUUUCAAUUUCAUCAGCAACAUAAACAGCUACGGUAACAAGUCGCAAGCAACAAUGGUAGCAAAAUGUCUAGCCUGAAGUUAAAGACAAACAAAAAGCGCUCGCAACUCAUUAUGUGACCUAUAGCCCGCUGUUCGGUGUAGCUUUCUGCGGUCUCUUCCUGUAUUACUUGAAAGUUGCCAUUAAUUAGCGUUCAAUUAAGUUCGUCACUGCCCACGUGGCUUUAAAACAUUUCCGCAAUGAUAGAUAAUAUCUAUAAGACGACCACAGUGAAAUAUAGCUACCUCAAAUGCUACUACACACAACAGAAUUGCUUUUUGUUUGCUUUUGCAUUUGCGGUAUUGCAGUUACAAAGUCGCUCUUUCUCUCAGAGCUCUGCGCUCAGUUCCACAACAAAUAAAAAUAUUAAAUUUCACGUGUGAAUUCUGUGCAAGUGAUCGCGUGUGGUUAGUGAAAAUUUGGAAAAAUAUACGAAAUAAGUAAAAAAUAAGUGCUUUGAUCAAAUAAUUAUUGCUGAAAAUUUGUUUAAGUGCUAAUGUAAAAAGAAAAAUAAGUGUAUAUAAUAAUGUGAGUGGUGUGAGUUAAGUGGAAUAUAUGUAUGUAAGUGUAGCCAAUUUUAAUAUUAGUGAAAUAUAUAAAAAUAUGUAAUUGAAAAGCGUGUCGGUUUUAUAAAGCUAAUGGUGUAUAUGAUAGAAAUAAGCAUUUUGUGGCAAUAUAAGCGAUUCAAUCUAGUGCGAUGUCAAGGUUAUAGAAAAUGAGAUUUAAUAAAAUGAAUACCGGUGUUUCAAAUAUUCCCCUCACAUGUGCCUUCGUUUAGUGCACGAUCCUUUUCUACCAAAAAAUAUAAAAGGAGUUGUUGACUAAAGUAGUUAACAACACAGCGCAGCGUCAAAUUUCGAAAAUGAAUGAAAUCUUGCUUAUU
rnacentral:lncRNA from 1 species